rnacentral:rRNA from 1 species
UACGUAGGGUGCGAGCGUUAAUCGGAAUUACUGGGCGUAAAGCGUGCGCAGGCGGUUUUGUAAGCCAGAUGUGAAAUCCCCGGGCUCAACCUGGGAAUGGCAUUUGGGACUGCAAGGCUCGAGUUUGGCAGAGGAGACUGGAAUUCCUGGUGUAGCAGUGAAAUGCGUAGAUAUCAGGAAGAACACCCGUGGCGAAGGCGGUUCUCUGGGACGGUACUGACGCUGAGACGCGAAAGCGUGGGGAGCGAACAGG